rnacentral:rRNA from 1 species
AGUGAACGCUGGCGGUAGGCCUAACACAUGCAAGUCGAACGGCAGCACAGUAAGAGCUUGCUCUUACGGGUGGCGAGUGGCGGACGGGUGAGGAAUACAUCGGAAUCUACUUUUUCGUGGGGGCUAACGUAGGGAAACUUACGCUAAUACCGCAUACGACCUACGGGUGAAAGCAGGGGUUCUUCGGACCUUGCGCGAUUGAAUGAGCCUAUGUCGGAUUAGCUAGUUGGCGGGGUAAAGGCCCACCAAGGCGACGAUCCGUAUCUGGUCUGAGAGGAUGAUCAGCCACACUGGAACUGAGACACGGUCCAGACUCCUACGGGAGGCAGCAGUGGGGAAUAUUGGACAAUGGGCGCAAGCCUGAUCCAGCCAUACCGCGUGGGUGAAGAAGGCCUUCGGGUUGUAAAGCCCUUUUGUUGGGAAAGAAAAGCAGCAGGUUAAUACCCCGCUGUUCUGACGGUACCCAAAGAAUAAGCACCGGCUAACUUCGUG